GAUGAACGCUGGCGGCGUGCCUAAUACAUGCAAGUCGAGCGAACGGACGAGAAGCUUGCUUCUCUGAUGUUAGCGGCGGACGGGUGAGUAACACGUGGAUAACCUACCUAUAAGACUGGGAUAACUUCGGGAAACCGUAGCUAAUACCGGAUAAUAUUUUGAACCGCAUGGUUCAAACGUGAAAGACGGUCUUGCGGUCACUUAUAGAUGGAUCCGCGCUGCAUUAGCUAGUUGUUAAGGUAACGGCUUACCAAGGCAACGAUGCAUAGCCGACCUGAGAGGGUGGUCGGCCACACGGGAACUGAGACACGGUCCAGACUCCUACGGGAGGCAGCAGUAGGGAAUCUUCCGCAAUGGGCGAAAGCGUGACGGAGCAACGCCGCGUGAGUGAUGAAGGUCUUCGGAUCGUAAAACUCUGUUAUUAGGGAAGAACAUAUGUGUAAGUAACUGUGCACAUCUUGACGGUACCUAAUCAGAAAGCCACGGCUAACUACGUG
rnacentral:rRNA from 1 species